rnacentral:lncRNA from 1 species
GUCAACGGCUAGUCAACGGCUGCGGGGACAAGUCCGUUGAGGCUGCCAGGCGAGUCAGGCCUUUCUGGACCUCGCCUGACUCGGAUGGGCUGUGCCUGAAAUUGACCCAGCUCCACUAGGGAUUAUGAAGAAACAAGGAGUAAACCCAAAGCCGCUGCAAUCUUCCCGCCCCAGCCCGUCUAAGCGGCCGUACGGGGCCUCCCCCGCCCGGGAGCUGGAGGUGGAAAAGUCGGCCCUAGGCGGCGGGAAACUGCCAGGGGGCGCCAGGAGGUCCUCCCCGGGGAGGAUCCCAAAUCUGAAAAAGCGAAAAGGCUUGGAGCUAAAGGUGGUGGCCAAGACCCUUCUCGACCCCUUCCAGUUCGUCCGUAAUUCCCUGGCGCAGCUCCGGGAAGAGGUGCACGAACUGCAGGCGCGGUGGUUCCCCAGCAGAACCACUCUCAGCAUCGGUAAGGAGAGGGCAGGAGAGCCCUAGGAGGGAGCCGCAUGGCGCUUUUCUUGAGUCUUGAAGGAGAUCAGUUUAACAAGCAAGGGUUUGUGGGUGCCUAGUAGGAAAUAAUAGCAAGGUCUGAGUAGAAAGAAGUUGGCCAAAAAUCUUGUCAUUGAACCAGAGGAGAGAGAGAGAUAGGGAGUAUAUUGGUUUGAAGGGCUGUCAGAUCGCAGAGAGUGUUUUAAGGUCUAGGAGUUUUAAAGGCUGGGGGCAAGGAUCAAGGGAAGAGGAUGAGAUUAAGAUUCCAAGAGAGGAAAUAAUUAGUGGAGCAAGUCUUGGAAUAUUUGGAGGGGUAGAGUUAAGGGCACAAAUUUGAUAAGCUAACUGUGGAAAAGAGGAGAGAGACUUCCUUUUCUGAGAUGGCAGGGAGUAGAAAAGCGAGAAUUACUAUAUGGAGAAAUGUUAAAGUGGAGAUAAAA